ACAAAUCCUAAUAUCCACCAGAACCGUUUUAUUUUGUGCUUCCUAUUACGUAUCUACGGAAAGUUGUAGCCAGCAAAAUAUUUUCUGUCCUGAACCUCAGGCAUAAUGCGUUUUGACUGUUGCGGGAAGCAAACGUGGGACCUGCUGUUCUGGAGCCCACAUGUGUAAAAGCUACGCUAUUUAACAAGAGCCAGCCAGCCUACCUGCCUUUGUUUUGACCCAUUUUUGGCCAAACUUGUCGUGGCCAAAAAUCUCACACUAGUGAUGACUAAAUUGGAUUCUCUCUCUUUUCCCUGGCCAUGAAAAGGAUGAUGGGAACUGAACUCGGGGGCCAGCCUCUCCUCGUUAGCAACCUUGGGACCUGAUGAAGGCAACAUGCAAUCUGAGGGUCCUUUGUUCUUCCCUCUUGUACAGUACAUUGGUCUAGCCUGGGUCCCAACCUGUUUCUGUUCUGUUGCCAACAGACAGGCAUCCUGGCUAACAAUAUCCUCUGAUAAAUACUUUGAGCUCAUCUACAAAGCUCUGAAACCCCAAGAAGUGUUGUCCUGGACUCACACCCACCCAGCUCUGCUAGAAACCUGUAAGAACCUGUCACAGAGGAAUGCAUAGAGAAGACAAAAGGCUUCACACUGAGCUCAUACUCAGCUUAACCCAGACAUACACACAACACACCAUAUUCCCAGAACAGAACCACCUCUGAGAGACUGAAAAUACAAAGGCAACACUAAUUGCUAAAAGAAACUAGCAGUCUGCUGAUUAAUAGGACAUAUUGGAAAUAGACAAUUCACUCAAAAAAGUGUUUUAAUAAUAAUAAUGUCGACAAAGAUAUGUGAAAUAAAGAAAUGUAAAAAACAUUGAUACAUUUAAACCCUAUUGUCACCCUGGGUUUAUGCCCGAACACCGCGAUGUGCUCCCAAGCUCUGGGCCAGCUCAGGUAGGUGCGUCUCUUCAGGAGCUUCCUCGUGUGGUGGUAGGGGUUGUCCUCCAGAACCACCCGGAUCAGCAAGUCCUUCUGCUCGCCAAACGUGCACAACCUGGAGAGAGCAUGUGGUGUGCCGCUAACUGCAGAGAAUUACCCCCACCUGCCACUCUCCAGAGCACCACUCACUCUCCAGGUGACGGCGGCUGAUCCCGCGGAUGGCCUAGCGGCUACCGUAGACGCUUCACAGGCGUGGAACUGAUUAACUUUCACGCGUGUUCCUCUGCUUGGUGUCGUACAGAUAAGCCAG